CAAUGUUCCUCAAAGUAUCAUUACAAUUUUACUAAAAAACUUACAUCAUGGACAAUAAAAAGGAUGACUUUUGAAGCAACUCUGAUACGUAGAUGUAAUCAAAACAAACUCUGAUUCUAAGCCAGUUUAAUGCCUUUUAGCAAUAAUUGCAAGUCACACAUUAUUAAACAAACUGAAUAAUAGAGCAAUAUUGACUUGACCAGCAGUGAACAAUUUGGGUAUUUUCUCCUCCUCCU
rnacentral:lncRNA from 1 species